CAGGAGGCUGCACAAAGCUGGGCUUCUGAAGUCUGACUUCAACCCAGCAUCCCGCAAAUGAAGCUGGCUUAUUUCUGAACUUGACCGGGAACCCUCUCACUGAGCAGGUGCAGGCAAGGCAGCUGCUACAGCAAUUCUGAAUAGCAAUGACUUGCACUGAUUGCCAAAACCAAGCUUUAUCCUGUGACAAGAAUUGUGAGUAAGGAAGAUUGUCAUUACCUACUUGAUGAAACAAAGGGUUCCUUGAAGAUUGGACAUUGCUUCUCCAUUGAUAUUUUCUGCUCCAUUUAGUUGACAAUAGAACAGGACCAGGGUCCUAAACCCAGAAAAAAAGAACAUUCACCACAAGACAAGCCAUAUCUGUAUGUUCCCUUCUCUACCUGGUUGCAACUCUGUCCUUCAGUUUACACAUGAGCUGUGAGCAAUCAGUUACAUUGCAAAGCCAAUAGAUACAGCUUGGUAAUGCUAUGUCCCCAGUAGUGUUAUCAUCAUGUUCCAGCAAUCUUGAACGCCUAUGGCAGAAGAGAUGGAUCCACCCUCAGGGAUUAUGUGGAGGCUGACUGCAGAGCAAUGGUCUUUGCUCUCCUGAGGAGACAACAUACAGGUUGACCUGCCCUGUUUCUUUUGAC
rnacentral:lncRNA from 1 species